AAGAUGGCGACCGGCGCACGGGUGAGUAACACGUAUCCAACCUGCCGAUAACUCCGGAAUAGCCUUUCGAAAGAAAGAUUAAUACCGGAUGGCAUACGAAUAUCGCAUGAUAUUUUUAUUAAAGAAUUUCGGUCAUCGAUGGGGAUGCGUUCCAUUAGGUUGUUGGCGGGGUAACGGCCCACCAAGCCUUCGAUGGAUAGGGGUUCUGAGAGGAAGGUCCCCCACAUUGGAACUGAGACACGGUCCAAACUCCUACGGGAGGCAGCAUG
rnacentral:rRNA from 1 species